rnacentral:rRNA from 1 species
CUUGUUGGGGUUGUAGGACACUCUAUACGGAGUUACAAAGGACGACAUUAGACGAAUCAUCUGGAAAGAUGAAUCAAAGAAGGUAAUAAUCCUGUAGUCGAAAAUGUUGUCUCUCUUGAGUGGAUCCUGAGUACGACGGAGCACGUGAAAUUCCGUCGGAAUCUGGGAGGACCAUCUCCUAAGGCUAAAUACUCUCUAGUGACCGAUAGUGAACCAGUACCGUGAGGGAAAGGUGAAAAGCACCCCGGAAGGGGAGUGAAAUAGAACCUGAAACCGUGUGCUUACAAGUAGUCAGAGCCCGUUAAUGGGUGAUGGCGUGCCUUUUGUAGAAUGAACCGGCGAGUUACGAUUUGAUGCAAGGUUAAGCAGUAAAUGUGGAGCCGUAGCGAAAGCGAGUCUGAAUAGGGCGUUUAGUAUUUGGUCGUAGACCCGAAACCAGGUGAUCUACCCUUGGUCAGGUUGAAGUUCAGGUAACACUGAAUGGAGGACCGAACCGACUUACGUUGAAAAGUGAGCGGAUGAACUGAGGGUAGCGGAGAAAUUCCAAUCGAACCUGGAGAUAGCUGGUUCUCUCCGAAAUAGCUUUAGGGCUAGCCUCAAGUGAUGAUUAUUGGAGGUAGAGCACUGUUUGGACGAGGGGCCCCUCUCGGGUUACCGAAUUCAGACAAACUCCGAAUGCCAAUUAAUUUAACUUGGGAGUCAGAACAUGGGUGAUAAGGUCCGUGUUCGAAAGGGAAACAGCCCAGACCACCAGCUAAGGUCCCAAAAUAUAUGUUAAGUGGAAAAGGAUGUGGCGUUGCCCAGACAACUAGGAUGUUGGCUUAGAAGCAGCCAUCAUUUAAAGAGUGCGUAAUAGCUCACUAGUCGAGUGACACUGCGCCGAAAAUGUACCGG